CAGCACCCCGAGUGGUCGGGACGAUUAUUGGGCCUAAAGCAUCCGUAGCCGGUUCUACAAGUCUUCCGUUAAAUCCACCUGCUUAACAGAUGGGCCGCGGAGGAUACUAUAAGACUAGGAGGCAGGAGAGGCAAGCGGUACUCAGUGGGUAGGGGUAAAAUCCGUUGAUCCAUUGAAGACCACCAGUGGCGAAGGCGGCUUGCCAGAAUGCGCUCGACGGUGAGGGAUGAAAGCUGGGGGAGCAAACCGGAUUAGAUACCCGAGUAGUCC
rnacentral:rRNA from 1 species